rnacentral:lncRNA from 1 species
GAGAUGUCUCCAUUGGGUACUGAGGAAGUUUCUGCAGUUAGCCAAGCAUGGUUUACAACUAAAGAAGACAAGGAUUCUCUCACUAACAAAGGUAAAGCAGACUGGAUUUGAGAUUGCAGUACCAGAAGCCAGGAGUCUAAAGGCUUGUUGUCAUCAAGAUUCUGUUUCCCUUAUGAAUACUGACGCACAAAUACUCAAUAAAAUUAUUGCAAACCCAAUUCAGGAACACAUCAAAAUGAUCAUCCAUCAUGAUCAAGUAGGCCUCAUCCCAGGGAUGCAGUUCAAGAUUCUGCAUUAGGACUUCAUUGGUGGGACAGAGUAGUGCAAUCUUUGUAUCUAGUGGGUUUAAAUUUAGCCUGAAUGAAACCAUAAUGCUAUUUAUUUUAGAAUAACUAUUUCUGAUACAGAGUAAGUUUUGUUGUGUUUUGAGCAUUAUAUUGUGGUGGUAUUUAAGAAACAAUACAGUUAUUGCUUUUAAGAAGAGAAUGUUUUACUUUGGCUUGAAAGUCCUUUAGAAGCUUAAAGUGGGAUAGUGUCACAUAGCUGGGGAUACCAUUGCUGGGAAUAAUACCAUAGCUGGGGAAGCUGUUAAAAAACAAAACAAAACAAAAAAAAAAAC